GACGAACGCUGGCGGCGUGCUUAACACAUGCAAGUCGAACGAGAGCGUAGAGACAGCUUGCUUUUUCUACAAUCUAGUGGCAAACGGGUGAGUAACGCGUAAACAACCUGCCCUACGGAUGGGGACAACAGCUGGAAACGGCUGCUAAUACCGAAUACGUUCCGAAAGUCGCAUGACUAUCGGAAGAAAGGAUGGCCUCUAUUUAUAAGCUAUCGCCGGAGGAGGGGUUUGCGUCUGAUUAGCUAGUUGGAGGGGUAACGGCCCACCAAGGCGACGAUCAGUAGCCGGUCUGAGAGGAUGAACGGCCACAUUGGAACUGAGACACGGUCCAGACUCCUACGGGAGGCAGCAGUGGGGAAUCUUCCGCAAUGGGCGAAAGCCUGACGGAGCAACGCCGCGGGAGUGAAGACGGCCUUCGGGUUGUAAAGCUCUGUUAUACGGGACGAAUAAUCUUGUGGUUAAUACCCAUGAGAAGUGACGGUACCGUAAGAGAAAGCCACGGCUAACUACGUG
rnacentral:rRNA from 1 species